UCUCCGUAGGUGAACCUGCGGAGGGAUCAUUACUGAGUGAGGGCUUCGGUCCGACCUCCAACCCUUUGUGUGAACCAAACUUGUUGCUUCGGGGGCGACCCUGCCGUCCGCGGCUGAGCGCCCCCGGGGUCAAUCAAACACUGCAUUCUCUGCGUCGGAGUAUUAGUAAAUCUAAUCAAAACUUUCAACAACGGAUCUCUUGGUUCUGGCAUCGAUGAAGAACGCAGC
rnacentral:misc_RNA from 1 species